ensembl:lncRNA
CAAGAGUUGUGAAACUAUGGAACUUUGGAACAGCAUCUGUUUUCUUCUAUUAAUAAAGUGACUUUCCAUUACCACCCUCCAACUGGGUAAGGCUGGAUAAGGGUCACUGAAGGUCUUGCUAAAAGGGCAGAUUUUUUUAAAAAAAGAACACAGAGGACUAUCAUUUUAGAAGGACAAAAAUAAGAAGGUGACCCACAGAUUUUUUUUUUUUUUUUUAGAAAAUAAAAAAGGAGAAAUAUACGUUGUAAUGUGUGAACCCUAAGAAGAAGUGUAAGCUCAGGAUAAAGCGUUUGGAAUGACAUCUCUCAGAAGUUGGCACUUCCUGGGGAAAUCCAUGAAGGUGUCUUCUACUCAGACCCUAAUCCUGGAUCAAGAACCAAGACUAGAACGUUUGCCAUUCUGGAUCUGGCGUCUGAAAGAUGAGUCACCAGAAGGUUCUAGUGUCAGAAGAGGGAACCAAAGGAGACUUCCUGAUGGCCUCCAAGCGCAAGGAGCAGCUAGGGAAAGGCA